rnacentral:lncRNA from 1 species
AUGGGCCCGGAGCCCCCUCUGCCCUCCCGCCCCGGGGAGGCACAAUCAGCGAGGCAGCGGCCGCUGGUCCCGGAGGGCAGGCAAAGAGGUGGCCGGUGGGCGUCGGGCUGCACGCCCCGGACGCAGGCUGGAGGCCGCGGGCGCAGGCCAGGCUCUGAGAGGCGGUGGAGAAGCGCCGCGGGCCGGAGCGGGCCCAGGCCCACGCAGGGUGGAAGCUCCCCUCGUCCAGCGCCGCGCCGGGGCCGGGGUCGGCGCCGCCAGCCUCCGGGAAGGCCAUUGUGCGCCCGGGCUUGGCGGUGCGGGAGCACCUGGAGGUCCCCUGCCGGCGGGGCCAGAGGAGCUGAGGUCUCCUGCGAGGGGUGGAGGAGGGGUGAGAGGAGACCUCGGGCGGCAUCGCUGCGGCCGCUGAGGCUUGGCACUGGUGGGAAGGCAGGGGCGCCCGGCUUUGUGCAGCCGGAGCACAGGCUGGGGCACAGAGAUGCGGGCGCGUGGGCUACCGCCCCCCAGACAUCGACCGGGCCGGCGCGCUCCCCGCCAUUCUCGAACCUCGCUGCCGCCCACCGUGCGCCCACCGCUGUCCCCAACCGACCAGGCGUUUUCUGCACGUGUCCCACUUCAUCCUCCGGGUCCCCUCGCCCCCCCAGACAGAGGCCAGGUCGGGACAAGACCCUACUCCUUUGUACCCGUGGAUACAGUCUCCACGAGGGCAAGGAACCCCAAGGCCCGGGGAAGCUGCCAGGCACUGCUCCUGGACCAAACAUCUGCAGUGAUCCAGUGUGGUCCUGGGCCAGGAGGGUCACCCUUGGGGAGGGGGCGAACGGACAGCUGCGGUCUGUGUGGCCAGCGCCAGCAGAGCCGCUGACUUUUCACCUGCCACGAGAUGCCAUGGUGCUGAGUGCCCAGGCUCCCAGCUCCAGCGCAGCAGGCGGCAGUGUCCCCAGGCAGUGGCUAGCUCCAACAUUAGGGUUGGGCCCUGCAGAGACCCUGUGUCAACCCUGUCAACCUCUCAGAACCAUCGCCCUCGGAGCACAAAGACCUCGGCUGACGUUUUAG